rnacentral:rRNA from 1 species
UGGGGUUUUCCCGUAGGUGAACCUGCGGAAGGAUCAUUA